rnacentral:tRNA from 1 species
GGGGUUGUGGCUCAGCGGUAGAGUGCUUGCCUAGUAAGCAUGAGACUCUGGGUUCGAUCCUCAGCACCA